UACGUAGGGUGCAAGCGUUGUCCGGAAUUAUUGGGCGUAAAGAGCUCGUAGGCGGUCUGUCGCGUCUGCUGUGAAAAACUCGGGGGCUUAACCCCCGGUUUCUGCAGUGGGGUACGGGCAGACUAGAGUGCAGUAGGGAGACUGGAAUUCCUGGUGUAGCGGUGAAAUGCGCAGAUAUCAGGAGGAACACCGAUGGCGAAGGCAGGUCUCUGGGCUGUAACUGACGCUGAGGAGCGAAAGCAUGGGAGCGAACAGG
rnacentral:rRNA from 1 species